CCUACGGGUGGCAGCAGUGAGGAAUAUUGGUCAAUGGACGAAAGUCUGAACCAGCCAAGUAGCGUGAAGGAUGACGGCCCUAUGGGUUGUAAACUUCUUUUGUAAGGGAAUAAAACGAGGCACGUGUGCCUUUUUGCAUGUACUUUAUGAAUAAGGAUCGGCUAACUCCGUGCCAGCAGCCGCGGUAAUACGGAGGAUCCAAGCGUUAUCCGGAUUUAUUGGGUUUAAAGGGAGCGUAGAUGGGUUGUUAAGUCAGUUGUGAAAGUCUGCGGCUCAACCGUAAAAUUGCAAUUGAUACUGGCAGUCUUGAGUACAGUUGAGGUAGGCGGAAUUCGUGGUGUAGCGGUGAAAUGCUUAGAUAUCACGAAGAACCCCGAUUGCGAAGGCAGCUUACUAAACUGCGACUGACAUUGAUGCUCGAAAGUGUGGGGAUCAAACAGGAUUAGAUACCCCAGUAGUC
rnacentral:rRNA from 1 species